rnacentral:rRNA from 1 species
CCUACGGGUGGCAGCAGUGAGGAAUAUUGGUCAAUGGACGAGAGUCUGAACCAGCCAAGUAGCGUGAAGGAUGACUGCCCUAUGGGUUGUAAACUUCUUUUAUAUGGGAAUAAAAUGUUCCACGUGUGGGAUUUUGUAUGUACCAUAUGAAUAAGGAUCGGCUAACUCCGUGCCAGCAGCCGCGGUAAUACGGAGGAUCCGAGCGUUAUCCGGAUUUAUUGGGUUUAAAGGGAGCGUAGGUGGAUUGUUAAGUCAGUUGUGAAAGUUUGCGGCUCAACCGUAAAAGUGCAGUUGAAACUGGCAGUCUUGAGUACAGUAGAGGUGGGCGGAAUUCGUGGUGUAGCGGUGAAAUGCUUAGAUAUCGCGAAGAACUCCGAUUGCGAAGGCAGUUCACUGGCGUGCAACUGACACUGAGGCUCGAAAGUGUGGGUAUCAAACAGGAUUAGAUACCCGUGUAGUC